GGAGAUAUAGCUCAGUUGGUAGAGUGCUUGCCUUGCAUGCAGCAAGGCCCUGGGUUCAAUUCCCAGCACCU
rnacentral:tRNA from 1 species